rnacentral:rRNA from 1 species
UGAGUACGAGAUGCUACGGCAUCGAAGCAGUCUAUGUCAUACUUCCAAGAAAAGCUUGCACUGUCAUAAACAAAGAAUGCCUGUACCAUAACCGACACAGGUGGGUAGGUAGAGUAUACUAAGGGGCGCGAGAUAACUCUCUCUAAGGAACUCGGCAAAAUGACUCCGUAACUUCGGGAGAAGGAGUGCCUUAUUUCUAAGGUUGCAAUAACAAGAUCCAAGCAACUGUUUACCAAAAACACAGGUCUCCGCUAAGUCGUAAGACGAUGUAUGGGGGCUGACGCCUGCCCAGUGCCAGAAGGUUAAAGAAGUUGGUUAGCAUUAGCGAAGCUGAUAACUGAAGCCCUGGUGAACGGCGGCCGUAACGAUAACGGUCCUAAGGUAGCGAAAUUCCUUGUCGGGUAAGUUCCGACCCGCACGAAAGGCGUAAUGAUUUGGAUACUGUCUCGGAGAGGGGCUCGGUGAAAUAGACUUGUCUGUGAAGAUGCGGACUACCUGCACCUGGACAGAAAGACCCUAUGAAGCUUUACUGUAACUUGAGAUUGAAAUUGGACUUUAUUUGCGCAGUAUAGGUGGGAGGCGUUGAGAAUAAUCUUGCGGGAUUGUUGGAGCCAUCAGUGAGAUACCACUCUUGUAAUGUUAGAUUUCUAACUUUGUAUCAUUAUCUGGUCAAAGAACAGUUUCAGGCGGGCAGUUUGACUGGGGCGGUCGCCUCCCAAAGGGUAACGGAGGCGCACAAAGGUUUCCUCUGAACGGGUAGAAAUCGUAUCUAGAGUGUAAAGGCAUAAGGAAGCUUGACUGUGAGACCUACAAGUCGAGCAGGGACGAAAGUCGGUCUUAGUGAUCUGACGGUGCUGAGUGGAAAGGCCGUCACUCAACGGAUAAAAGUUACUCUAAGGAUAACAGGCUGAUCUCCCCCAAGAGUUCACAUCGACGGGGAGGUUUGGCACCUCGAUGUCGGCUCAUCGCAUCCUGGGGCGGUAGUCCGUCCCAAGGGUUGGGCUGUUCGCCCAUGGAAGCGGUACGCGAGCUGGGUUCAGAACGUCGUGAGACAGUUCGGUCCAUAUCCGGUGUAGGUGUUAGAAUAUUGAGAGGAGCCUUCUCUAGUACGAGAGGACCGAGAAGGACAUACCUCUGGUGUACCAGUUAUCGUGCCAACGGUAAACGCUGGGUAGCUAUGUAUGGAGUGGAUAACCGCUGAAAGCAUCUAAGUGGGAAGCCCACCUCAAGAUAAGUAUUCUC